rnacentral:rRNA from 1 species
UACGGGGGGGGCAAGCGUUGUUCGGAAUUACUGGGCGUAAAGGGCUCGUAGGCGGCCAACUAAGUCGGACGUGAAAUCCCCAGGCUCAACCUGGGAACUGCGUCCGAUACUGGAUGGCUUGAAUCCGGGAGAGGGAUGCAGAAUUCCAGGUGUAGCGGUGAAAUGCGUAGAUAUCUGGAGGAAUACCGGUGGCGAAGGCGGCAUCCUGGACCAUAACUGACACUGAGAGACGAAAGCCAGGGGAGCAAACGGG